GCGCUGAGUGAGGGGCGGAGCUUAAUAGCGGUCACAAAAUGAGCUUGACUAAAUCGGGGUGAAAUUAGCAGAUUGGUUUAUUUGAUGGCAUAAUUAAUCCUGUUUACUGAAGAAUUAAAAAAACAAAAGACAAUAAUCUGGUAAUAUUUUUAAUUUUGAAAUGUGGUACAUUUUUUGUCAAUUGUUUUUAUAUUUUUCUAUUUCUAUUAUUGGGAUUUAGUCUUGUCAUAAUCUGUUAUUUUACCUCUAUUUUGUUAUUAAUCUCUGAAUGUAUCGCGUCGGUUCAUGGUUUCGUUGGCAUGCCUACCAAAUUGUGCGCGCACUUCAUUUGUAUGCGCGUAUCGAGUGGACCUUCCUAAAAGCAACACUGUCGUGUGUUGCUGCCCUCUACGUUCGUUGGUGCAAACAUCGAGAGAGCGGAGGGCCAGGAGCUAGCUCGGAGGUACCGGUAGGCGAUACUGACAUAGCGCCAUGAUAUGUGAAGUGUGAAUUGAGCUGAGUAUAUUUGAAAACACAACUUGCAGAUCCGUAGUGCAGAUUCUCAGUGUCAUCAAUCAUGUUUCUUUCAUUUUCUCUAUGUAAACGGGUAAUGGUGAUGUUGAAGAGUGCAGCUGGAACAGGAACUUGUAAAGUGAUGAUCAGGAACAGAUUAAAACCCAAAAUGAUGUUGGUCAAGUUUGAUCCAAAAGUGAAUCGACAUGUAUUAUUCAUAGAGGACAGAAAGAUCAGGUCAAUGUGAAAACUUUUGAAAGACUUCAACCAUCAGCGGACUGUUGAAUGUAUCCAGAGGUAUCAAGAACCUGUGCUGAUGCUAUGAGAGACUUGAACUUAGAAAGACUGGGAAGAAGUUUAUGUGAUCCCAGCUUGUAUGUCAUUGGAUUUAAAUCAUGGAGUUGUACAGCAUCACUGCACAACAGUCUACCUGUGACAAACAAGAGAUUGUUUCAUCUUUGAUGAAAUAUUUGUGUGAAGACCAUUGGACCUAUUCUUUGUAAAUAGGUCAUUUUCAUAAAGCAAUUAAAUCCAAUGCAUGUCUUUGUAGAGUGAAUAUGAAUUCAAUUUAAUUGGCACAAAUACCUAUAUUUUAGGCAGAGUCAAAUUUGAAUUGUGGAUUGGGUGAAAAAUUUUGCCUGCCAAACUUCGGAUUGCAAGGUAAAUGUGGAUGAAUUCAAACGCAUAAUGGUAAUGGUCUAUUCUGUUUCAAAUAAACACAUGUUCAUGAAUUUGAUAUCAAACAAAAACCUUUUUCUUAAUCCCCUUAAAUUCAAUUAAUAUCUGGAUGAUGUUACUCCUUUUACGCAAAUUAUUUAUCUUCCAGGUUAAAUUUCCAUUUAAGGCAUGCACAGCGAGUCCCAGUAAAAAUGUCCCUCGAUAGAUACCUUACUCAAUAAAAUUUUAGGAUUUAUAAAGCCUAGUUAAUUUACUAACCCCUGUGAAAGUUACAUUGAUUUUGUAUCAUUAGUUUUUAAUACAUAUUUGAUGUAACAAAAGUUUGCACUUCCUUGGAAGUCUUACAGUAAAACAAUGGUUAGUGAUUUGCAUUCAGUUCUCUUGUAUUUUCAAGCUUGGCCUAAUUGAAAUCAACAGUGGAGAUUCGAGCUAUUCAUCAUUAAUGUCAUAAAACAGAAGGGUGUUUUUUUUUUUAAGUGAAUCGAGAAGAAAUCUGAACAGGUACUGUGAGAUUAGCAAGUUCAGAACUUCUGGACUUGGGUUGAAAAGCAAUGCCUUUACAACAGAGCCUGUUUAUUUGAAAUAAAUUAAGUGAGACCUUCAAAUAUUUACUGAAAAUACAAACUGUUUUUUUAAUCUA